rnacentral:rRNA from 1 species
AUACGAAGGGGGCAAGCGUUGUUCGGAAUUACUGGGCGUAAAGCGCACGUAGGCGGACUGGAAAGUUGGGGGUGAAAUCCCGGGGCUCAACCCCGGAACUGCCUCCAAAACUUCCAAUCUAGAGAUCGAGAGAGGUGAGUGGAAUUCCAAGUGUAGAGGUGAAAUUCGUAGAUAUUUGGAGGAACACCAGUGGCGAAGGCGGCUCACUGGCUCGAUACUGACGCUGCGGUGCGAAAGCGUGGGGAGCAAACAGGAUUAGAAACCCUAGUAGUCC